rnacentral:ncRNA from 2 species
CAGUUAGGACAUGGGAGCCAAAGGAUUGGCUGAGAUCGAAUUGAUACUAUUCUGACCAUUUACCUGAUCUGGAUAAUGCCAGCGUAGGGAGCUUCUUUCAAUAAAAAA